CUUGUCAACAAACAAAACGAAGAAUGAUUAAUUGAACCACAUGCAACAAUGGGAAUGAAAUAACUCUUAAACAUUGCAAUUCUACAUAAGGUACCGGUCAUUAUUUAUCGAAGCGGUGGAUAGGUAAAAAAAGGGGAUGGGUCACAAGACUUUACAGAAAAAAGGCGGGGGGGAUCAUCAUUCAUUAUAAACCCUAUGCCAACAGUUGGUAAAAAUUUCGAGUCUUUUCAAUUUUCAUUUAAAUUAAUUAACAAUUGACAGCAUACACUGAACAGUUCGUCAACGAAGGGGAAGAGGUACGUUAAAGUAAAAUUUAAUUACGUUAAACUUUAAAGAAAUGAUCAAAUAAAAAGUUCUAAGUAUGUCAAAAGAUGUAUA